UGGGGAAUAUUGCACAAUGGGCGAAAGCCUGAUGCAGCGACGCCGCGUGAGGGAUGACGGCCUUCGGGUUGUAAACCUCUUUCAGUAGGGACGAAGCGCAAGUGACGGUACCUGCAGAAGAAGCACCGGCUAACUACGUGCCAGCAGCCGCGGUAAUACGUAGGGUGCGAGCGUUGUCCGGAAUUACUGGGCGUAAAGAGCUCGUAGGCGGUUUGUCACGUCGUCUGUGAAAUCCUAGGGCUUAACCCUGGACGUGCAGGCGAUACGGGCUGACUUGAGUACUGCCGGGGAGACUGGAAUUUUUGGUGUAGCGGUGGAAUGCACGGAUAUCAGGGAAGACACCGAUGGCGAAGGCAGGUCUCUGGGUAGUAACUGACGCUGAGGAGCGAAAGCAUGGGUAGCGAACAGG
rnacentral:rRNA from 1 species